UGACGAUUCGCGCAUACGUCGGAUCUAGUGAGCAGAUGGCACAAUUCCAGUGACUCGUCAGAGUUCCGCGUUACGGGUGUAUCGCUCUCGUUUGAACUGCACGUCUCGUGUGCCACUGUAAUGAUCUGACAACGCGUGCGAUUCGAUUCUGAUCCGAUUAUUCGGAGGCUGUGACGUCGUUGAAUGACAUACGAAUCUGUUCAAAACAUUGUACACAUUACGAAAACAUAUCCUAUAAAAGCUGAGCAAUUAACUCAUCCGUGGCCAAUCGCUGAUUGUUGGUUGGGGUAAAACAGAAAAAGACGUGUCAAGUACCAUUUUAUUAGAAGCCAGUUUACCGUACAUCGACCAUAAUUCUUGUCGAAGCAUGUAUAAAACAUGUAUAAAAAUGGUUUUCAAACGUUUGUAACUAUUGAAAAGUUCUGUACUGGGUCUGAAUAAGAACAAGGGGCUCGUAAAAGUGACAGUGGUGGGGAGGCUUAACGUUUUUACAUUCUAAUUCUUAUUAUUUAACUGGAGUAAUGAGUAUCAACGAUCCACACGCAAACAAUUCAAUAUCGGUUUUUACAGAUAUUAAGUUUCACAUUCAAUGGCUUAGUAUGCUGUAUACAAAUAAUGAUUAAUAUCAAAUAAUUUGUUUUCAUUGUAAUCGAACACAAUAUUGAAAUAUUUAUUUAUGAAUAGAUUAUUACUUUUGUGUCACAAUUUUUGACAGUUCAU